AUUGAACGCUGGCGGCAGGCUUAACAUAUGCAAGUCGAGCGGGGUGAUGGUGCUUGCACUAUCACUUAGCGGCGGACGGGUGAGUAAUGCUUAGGAAUCUGCCUAUUAGUGGGGGACAACAUCUCGAAAGGGAUGCUAAUACCGCAUACGUCCUACGGGAGAAAGCAGGGGAUCACUUGUGACCUUGCGCUAAUAGAUGAGCCUAAGUCGGAUUAGCUAGUUGGGGGGGUAAAGGCCUACCAAGGCGACGAUCUGUAGCGGGUCUGAGAGGAUGAUCCGCCACACUGGGACUGAGGCACGGCCCAGACUCCUACGGGAGGCAGCAGUGGGGAAUAUUGGACAAUGGGGGGAACCCUGAUCCAGCCAUGCCGCGUGUGUGAAGAAGGCCUUAUGGUUGUAAAGCACUUUAAGCGAGGAGGAGGCUCUUUUGGUUAAUACCCAAGAUGAGUGGACGUUACUCGCAGAAUAAGCACCGGCUAACUCUGUGCCAGCCGCCGCGGUAA
rnacentral:rRNA from 1 species